UCCGGCUUAUCACCGGCAGUUUCUUUAGAGUGCCCAACUAAAUGAUGGCAACUAAAGACGAGGGUUGCGCUCGUUGCGGGACUUAACCCAACAUCUCACGACACGAGCUGACGACAGCCAUGCAGCACCUGUGCCGGAGCUCCGAAGAGGGGCCAAUGUUUCCAUCAGCUUUCCCCAGCAUGUCAAGCCUAGGUAAGGUUCUGCGCGUUGCGUCGAAUUAAACCACAUGCUCCACCGCUUGUGCCGGCCCCCGUCAAUUUCUUUGAGUUUUAAUCUUGCGGCCGUACUCCCCAGGCGGGGCACUUAGUGCGUUAGCUACGGCACGGGAGGAGUCGACACCUCCCACACCUAGUGCCCAUCGUUUACGGCGUGGACUAC
rnacentral:misc_RNA from 1 species